rnacentral:rRNA from 1 species
UGGCGGAGCCAUCCUUGGGAUACCACCCUUGUAGUACUGGGACUCUAACCAUAGGCCAUGAAUCUGGUCUUGGGACACUGUCAGGUGGGCAGUUUGACUGGGGCGGUCGCCUCCCAAAAGGUAACGGAGGCGCUCAAAGGUUCUCCCAGUACGGUCGGAAAUCGUACGUAGAGUGUAAAGGCAAAAGAGAGCUUGAUUGCAAGACAUACAGGUCGAGCAAGGAUGAAAAUCGGACUUAGUGAUCCGGUGGUUCUGCGUGGAAGGGCCAUCGCUCAACGGAUAAAGCUACCC